rnacentral:rRNA from 1 species
GACGAACGCUGGCGGCGUGCCUAAUACAUGCAAGUCGAGCGCAGGAAACUGACGGAACUCUUCGGAGGGAAGGCAGUGGAAUGAGCGGCGGACGGGUGAGUAACACGUAAGGAACCUGCCUCAAGGAUUGGGAUAACUCCGAGAAAUCGGAGCUAAUACCGGAUAGUUCAUCGGACCGCAUGGUCCGUUGAUGAAAGGCGCUUCGGCGUCACCUUGAGAUGGCAUUGCGGUGCAUUAGCUAGUUGGUGGGGUAACGGCCCACCAAGGCGACGAUGGAUAGCCGACCUGGGGGGGUGAUCGGCCACACUGGGAAUGAGACACGGCCCAGACUCCUACGGGAGGCAGCGGUAGGGAAUCUUCCACAAUGGACGAAAGUCUGAUGGAGCAACGCCGCGUGAGUGAUGAAGGUUUUCGGAUCGUAAAACUCUGUUGUAAGGGAAGAACACGUACGAGAGGAAAUGCUCGUACCUUGACGGUACCUUACGAGAAAGCCACGGCUAACUACGUGCCAGCCGCCGCUGUAAUAC